UACGGGGGAGCAAGCGUUGUUCGGAUUUACUGGGCGUAAAGGGCGCGUAGGCGGUCAGUGCAAGUCAGUUGUGAAAUCUCCGGGCUUAACUCGGAACGGUCAACUGAUACUGCUCGACUAGAGUGCGGAAGGGGCAACUGGAAUUCUUGGUGUAGCGGUGAAAUGCGUAGAUAUCAGGAGGAACACCGGUGGCGAAGGCGGGUCUCUGGGCAGUAACUGACGCUGAGGAGCGAAAGCGUGGGGAGCGAACAGG
rnacentral:rRNA from 1 species